rnacentral:ncRNA from 1 species
AGAACUAAUAGUCCAAGAAGUAGAAUGAAAGGGUAACGCCUGGAAAUGCUUCCUUUAAUACUCCGACUGGCGUAAUGGUUGUUUAGAACCAAAAGGUCAGAAGCUCGGUGAAGUCGGCUGAGAGCUAACCCUAACGAUUAAGAAAUUAAGUCGAGGAAAAGUGAACCAGAGGUGGUCAAGUUAGUGAUAGGCCGGAAGUCUAUAAA